UAAUUGUCUAUUUCCUCUAAAAAAAAGAAAGAAAGAGCCACGUCAUUAUGUAUAAAAGAAACACAAAAGGGCAUAUAGGCAAAGCAUUAUAAAUAUAGAAGACCAGAAUACAAAAAAUAUAUUAGAACAAUAGCGAGAUGUUUAAGUACAGAGCCACGAAAUAUGUAUCAAAGAAACACAAACAGUCACACGAACAAAGCAAAUAUAAAAGAUGAUGCAAAUAACACAAUGAUGGGAUGCAUAAUUAAAGAGCCGCGUCAAAUAGAUAUCACCAAAAACAGACCAAACAGUAAAAGUAAUAUUAAUAAAAACAAAUAAAAGAACACUAUAACACGUAUUAAGAUGAUAAAUAUCGUCAGCACUCAGAAUCUAUACUUCAAG
rnacentral:lncRNA from 1 species